CUUGGAGGAGGUUAUUUAACUUUCAUAAUCUUUUGACGACAUUUAAUGCAUGCGUGUCUUCACGUCGAUUACACGCACAGCACAGAAAC